ACGGACAUAGAGGAGUUUGGAGUCCUCGCUUCCUUUGGAGAGAAGAGAUCCCUGGUUCGAGUCCAGGUGUCCGUACCA
rnacentral:tRNA from 1 species